rnacentral:rRNA from 2 species
CUUGACCUCAAAUCAGGUAGGACUACCCGCUGAACUUAAGCAUA